UACAGAGGUCUCAAGCGUUGUUCGGAUUCAUUGGGCGUAAAGGGUGUGUAGGUGGCGCGCUAAGUCGGGUGUGAAAUUUCGGAGCUUAACUCCGAAACUGCAUUCGAUACUGCCGUGCUUGAGGACUGGAGAGGAGACUGGAAUCUACGGUGUAGCGGUGAAAUGCGUAGAUAUCGUAAGGAAGACCAGUGGCGAAGGCGGGUCUCUGGACAGUUCCUGACGCUGAGGCACGAAGGCCAGGGGAGCAAACGGG
rnacentral:rRNA from 1 species